GGAAGGUCGACACCGGAGGCCCGGUGGCCCGCCUCGAAAGCGGUGCGGGCGCUGUCACGCGCUCGGGGUUCGAGUCCCUUGCCUUCCG
rnacentral:tRNA from 1 species